rnacentral:lncRNA from 1 species
UGGAGUUCUUGGUGAAAGAAAGGGAAAUGAAACCUUGGAAUGUCUUGAAAUGAUGGCUUUGACCUGGAGAGACUGAAGACCUGAGACUUUUGGAUGAAGGGUGAAGCUGAAGGAAACAGAACUGAAUAACAGUUCUCAAAAGCAGAGGCCUGAAAAAUCAUAACUUUCUUCUUUUCCUCUAUGAAACUGGAUGCGUCAUAUGUAACUCAGGAAUGAAUUAAGUGGUCACUGUGAAGUGAAAGUCUUUCAGUUCAACAAGGAAAACCUAUUUUUGUGCAUUUUCAGG